rnacentral:rRNA from 1 species
CGGGUGAGUAACACGUAUCCAGCCUGCCGUCUACUCUUGGACAGCCUUCUGAAAGGAAGAUUAAUACAAGAUGGCAUCAUGAGUUCACAUGUUCACAUGAUUAAAGGUAUUCCGGUAGACGAUGGGGAUGCGUUCCAUUAGAUAGUAGGCGGGGUAACGGCCCACCUAGUCUUCGAUGGAUAGGGGUUCUGAGAGGAAGGUCCCCCACAUUGGAACUGAGACACGGUCCAA